CAUGCGACGCCGUCUCCUCCUUUGCUUAACCGGCGCCACAAGCGACGGUUCUUCUUUUCCCUUCUCUUCUUCGAGCGCCGGCCACCGGAUUCCCCGAGCCACUGCCGGCCGAGCUCGUCCCUCUGCCUAGCACCGGUGCCCUAGCCGUCUUCACAGCCGCUCUUCUCUCUGCCUGAGCUGAGAUUUCGGUGACAAGAUGAGGCUGAGCGCCACUGUUUGUGAGCCCUAGCCGGCCGACCGCGACUCCCUCCUUUUCCUCCUUCCUCCUCGUGCCUCUGAAUUGGAGCGAUGGUGUUGUUCCUCUCUGCACUAGUGCCGGUAGUCGUUCUCUUCGCUUCUGCCAAGUGCCACCGACCCCUCUUGUGACCUAGGCUCCAUCUCCUCUUCAGAGUAAGGGGUUUAAGUAAGGUAACGGCAAGGGUUGUGUGAUGUGGAUCAACUAGCAAGGUUGGGAAGAAGGAAGUUGGAUGUUUGUUUGGAAAAUGAUUAUCAGGUGUUGGAUGAGUUUUGGAAGAAAAGGGUGAGGUCAUAAGAUUGGAUUUAUUGAGGUUUCGGCUUGCAUUAUCCGAUCUACGAUAAACCUAAGUGUUGAUUGUAUAUUUAUUUCAGGGUUUUGAUUUGAGACAAGAGCUCUGAUUAGAGGACAUACAACACGAUCUAC